rnacentral:tRNA from 1 species
UAGAAAGUGGUGUAGUGGAAGCACUAAGAGUUUUGAUCUCUUGAGGAUGGGUUCGAGCCCCCUUUUUCUAA